rnacentral:rRNA from 1 species
AACGAACGCUGGCGGCGUGCUUAACACAUGCAAGUCGAACGCGAACGUCUUCUUCGGAAGGCUAGUAGAGUGGCGCACGGGUGAGUAACGCGUAAGUAACCUACCCUCGCAUCUGGGAUAACCCACCGAAAGGUGUGCUAAUACCUGAUACGUCUGGAAUUAUACAUUGACUUCAGAGAAAGGUGGCCUCUGAUUCAAGCUACUGUGCGGGGAGGGGCUUGCGUACCAUUAGCUAGUUGGUAGGGUAAGGGCCUACCAAGGCGAUGAUGGUUAGCGGGUCUGAGAGGAUGAUCCGCCACACUGGAACUGGAACACGGACCAGACUCCUACGGGAGGCAGCAGUGAGGAAUAUUGCGCAAUGGGGGCAACCCUGACGCAGCGACGCCGCGUGGAUGAUGAAGGCCUUCGGGUUGUAAAAUCCUGUCAGAUGGGAAGAAAUGGUAUGUGCUUAACAAGUAAAUACUUUGACGGUACCAUCAAAGGAAGCACCGGCUAACUCCGUGCCAGCAGCCGCGGUAAUACGGAGGGUGCAAGCGUUGUUCGGAAUUACUGGGCGUAAAGCGCGCGUAGGCGGCUAUCUA